rnacentral:sRNA from 1 species
GUGCGUAUACGUAUUCUUUUUCCCUACAAAUACACUCUAAGAAAACG